rnacentral:rRNA from 1 species
UCAGAACGAACGCUGGCGGCAGGCUUAACACAUGCAAGUCGAACGCCCCCCUUCAAGCUAGCUUGAAGGAAUUUUUUUUAAUAUCAAAGCAAGCCAAAGGCUUGCUUGAUGGGGGGAGUGGCAGACGGGUGAGUAAUACAUGGGAAUCUUCCUUUUAGUACGGAAUAGACCAGGGAAACUUGGAUUAAUACCGUAUACGCCCUACGGGGGAAAGAUUUAUCGCUAAAAGAUGAGCCCAUGUUGGAUUAGCUAGUUGGUGAGGUAACGGCUCACCAAGGCUACGAUCCAUAGCUGAUCUGAGAGGAUGAUCAGCCACACUGGAACUGAGACACGGUCCAGACUCCUACGGGAGGCAGCAGUGGGGAAUAUUGGACAAUGGGCGCAAGCCUGAUCCAGCCAUGCCGCGUGAAUGACGAAGGCCUUCGGGUUGUAAAGUUCUUUAGCAGGGGAAAAUCAUGAUGGUACCCUGAAAAUAAGCUCCGGCUAACUUCGUGCCAGCAGCCGCGGUAAUACGAAGGGGGCUAGCGUUGUUCGGAAUUACUGGGCGUAAAGCGUAGGUAGGCGGUUUUUCAAGUCAGGGGUGAAAUCCCAGAGCUCAACUCUGGAAUUGCCUUUGAAACUGAAAGGCUUGAGAAAGUUAGAGGCAAGUGGAAUUCCUAGUGUAGGAGUGAAAUCCGUAGAUAUUAGGAGGAACAUCGAUGGCGAAGGCAGCUUGCUGGGACUUUUCUGACGCUGAGCUACGAAAGCGUGGGUAGCAAACAGGAUUAGAUACCCUGGUAGUCCACGCCCUAAACGAUGGAUGCUAGACGUCGGGCCCUUGAGGCUCGGUGUCGUAGCUAACGCGUUAAGCAUCCCGCCUGGGGAGUACGGUCGCAAGAUUAAAACUCAAAGGAAUUGACGGGGACCCGCACAAGCGGUGGAGCAUG